rnacentral:rRNA from 1 species
AAUGAACGCUGGCGGCAUGCCUUACACAUGCAAGUCGAACGGCAGCAUGACCUAGCUUGCUAGGUUGAUGGCGAGUGGCGAACGGGUGAGUAAUGCAUCGGAACGUGCCUUUUAGUGGGGGAUAACGUAGCGAAAGUUACGCUAAUACCGCAUAUUCUCUGAGGAGGAAAGCAGGGGACCUUCGGGCCUUGCGCUAGAAGAGCGGCCGAUGUCGGAUUAGCUAGUUGGUGAGGUAAAGGCUCACCAAGGCAACGAUCCGUAGCGGGUCUGAGAGGAUGAUCAGCAAGCGUGGGACUGAGAAACGGCCCAGGCCCCUGCGGGGGGAGGCAGGGGGGAUUUUUGGACAAGGGGCCAAAGCUUGACCCACCUAUGCCGGGGGAGGAAAGAGGGCCUUCGGGUUAAAAAGCUCUUUGGGCGGGAAAGAAAUCGCCCCCUCUAAUCCGGGGGGGGGAGGAGGGUACAAGAAUAAGAAGCCCCGGCUAACUCCGUC